UUACAAGUCUGUUGACUGAAAUAUCUACAUUCCUGUCUUCAUCAGCCACAGUACUUCCUACCACAACCUCAACCACAACAACUACAACAACUCCAACCACAACAUCAACUACAAC